rnacentral:lncRNA from 1 species
GUUUUGCUAGGGGUAAUCCAAACAUUUCUUUUCAUCAAAAUAGAAUUAGAGGUGCAAAAUGUUAUACGAUACCGAUGAUGUUUAAAAGUUCAAACAUAAAAGAAACACAGUCUCAAUGUAAGGAAGAGUUGCAAGCACAACGUUCGACGAACGAACGAUAGAAGGAACAAACAAACUGACUUUAAAACACAACGCCCACUGGACACAAUCUCUUCAGUAAGCAGAGUAUUAUACGAAAGUUGAAAAGGGUGCAUAUAUUUUAUUAGUGGCCGCUGUUGAUAAACUAUCUAUUAAUAGCACACAUGUUAUUUUUACAAUAUUGCAUGAUAGAUGUUGCUUUUGUAUUUACAAAUAUUAGAUUUGUGGAUUAAUAAUACUGACACAUGACAUAAUUUGUAGAACUGUUAAUAGUCUCACGGUAAAUAAAGGCAACAGUAGUAUACCCGC